rnacentral:lncRNA from 1 species
UCAUGCAUCAAUAAUAUUUUAGAUAUUUGUCCUCAGUUGGUUAGCCGUACAGUGUGCGUAUAAAGAAGCGCAACACUUGACUUCGCAGAUUUAACUGACUUAGUUUUUCUCAAUAGUAUAAACACGUUUUCUGAAACUAUAGCUCAAAACUUUAAACACAAACCUGAGAAAAGUCUAAACUACACAUAUUCUUCUCAAAACUGUUUUUUUCCACUGAGCAGUCAACACAGCUAUCAAAGGAAUAUCUCUUAGAGAGCAUAAAUUAAACACUGGUGUGUUCAAUUCAAAACACUUCCAUCAAAAUACUUUUUUUUAUAAUGUUUUGGCUUUAUGAGGCCAUGUUAAAUAUUCCUAUCUAUAAAAUUGUUUAGAAAUAGCUUUAUUUUUUAAAGUUGCAAUUAGGUGGUACACAUAAGACUUUGCCAUAUUGUUAUACAAUUCUGUGAAUAUAUCUGAACUGCUGAACUGACUGCAUAAAAUUAAGACUAUAAAUGAGGUGAAACAGAUCUACAUGUAAAUCAGUAUGUAUCCCACCUCCAAUCCUGAUCAGGCCAAAGGACCAUAUCUACAACACAGUAGAGCCUCUUUUAUGCUCUGACAUAUGAUUGAAGUGUUUUGCCAGUUGAGUUUGAACAGCUGAAAAGUGAGUUAGACUUAAUUGGUAAAUAGUUGUUGCGCUUUGAGGGCCAGUGUGCUAAAUGAUGAGAUUUGUGCUUAGAGUUUAAAAAAGAAUGUGAAAACAGUGGAAUUGUGCUUAGAGUUUAGCAGUCUGGAUUCUUGUAGUUGAUACAUUAGCUUCAAGUUUCCAGACUUGUGUGCAUAGUUCCAUUUUUUGUGUGUCGAGAAAAACUGUGACAUCAUUACAAAUGCCUCUAUUCAACCAUAAUGGGACAUUAGUCCUAGUCCUAUUUACGGUAGAUGUAAUUUGGAAAUGUCGUUGAUAAAGUUGCAUUUAAAACGGCCAUAUAGGCAUAUAUCACUCAUAGGCCGUACAGGACUUAUUUGACAGUCCGACUACCCACGACUCCAGUGCACCACGCUCUCUGCGCGCCGCUACACACCCACAAACGCGCACACACACGCACCAGCUAUCAGAUCUUCACGGAUCGACAACAAGAAGAGAACAAAUCGGAUGGCACGAAUACGACACCCAUUAAUCCUCUCACAAAACACAGACUACCCCUUGGACGUUGACAUGAUUCGGCAUUGGAGCAGAUUGAAUCGUGUGUAGGAUCGAUUUAAAACGGAUGUUCAAACCGCACGCCAUCAGACGUUCGCAAGAACAGCUUUUUCUCAGUAGAGUAGCAUA